UAUAUAAACUGUGAAAUUAUCUCUGGGGAAAAAAAAUCUUCUCUCUUACUUGAUAAUCAAGUUUAUCGAUGAUACGAAUAUAACAAUAAAAUUGAAAUUGUACAAUUUUAUAUAGAAAAUAAUCACCGACGUAUCGUUCUAUUCUCAUCGAAAUAUAAUUCAUCUUUAAUCUCCAUAUAUAUUAAUCAUCGUCAUAAAAUUCAAAUAAGUAAUAUCGGAUCGGAUCAAAAUAUCAACAUUGGAUAUUGAAAUUCUCGGUAAAAACGUUAUUACUCACGAAUCAUUAACACAUUCCAAAACGAAGAAUAUUUAUACGAAAAAAAAAAAAAAGAAAAUCUUAUCCCCUGCAUGUAUCGUGUAAUCGCGCAAGAAAUAUUAUUCUCGUUCUUCCUUGUGUAAUCAUCCAAUUUAUAAUCAACAUUCCCCGUCUCGAUAUGUUAUGUCAGAAAGUGUUUGCCAAUUACACGCAACGAUUGGAUCUAUGACUGCGGCUAUGACUCAUAAAUAAUGCGCAAGUGCAUGUCUCGCGGCCUAUUUGGAAGGCUCGUUUGGAAAAACUCACGUGGAAGGCACGUGAAGUUAAUCGCGCGACCGAUUGGGAGGCGGAAGGCCACGAAGUCACGGCGCCUGGGAUUCGACCACGAUCCGAACGAGAGAGGAUCGAGAACAAGCGAGAGAGACAAAUGAGGCCUCGUUAAAUGGAACACAAUCGACGUGACGCAUGGCCUUAGCCUAGUUGUGGGAUAGAGAUAGGAGAAAGAGAGGGAGAGAGAGAGAAGAGGUUUUAAGUAAAUCGUCUAAUCGCGACUGCGGUACCUUGUAAGGACAAAUUCGUGUUUGUCGAGCGGAUGAAACUUGCCUUUUGGGAUGCGUUAAAUCUGGGAUCGAUUGGUUCUAUUGGAGGUAUUUUUCGCAAGCUUUUAGGAAAGGAACUAUAAGAAAUUUGGGAAGAUUGUUGUAGUUUCUUCUUUAUUGUGGUAUUAAAUUAUUCUUUCAAAGUUCUUCUUCAGAAAAGUCAUACGUAAGUAAUGCGACCAAUAUUGCGUCGAAUUUAAAACACUUUUCUUGAACUAGCAUUUACAAAUCUUCGACAAAGCUCACGUAUUUCCUUUUUUCUAAUCUUCUAUUUCCAUUUUUAGAUGAUAUCAUCGAAUUCAAGCGACUGCCAAAAAGUUGAGAGCUUCAUAAUCUCCGUCAUAUUAGCAUAGGAAAAUGGAAGAAUUAAUUUUUCAUUCUUCGCUCGAGUCGAUCUUGAUUCGAUCGAUCAAAGUGCCGACGAAAAUGAUUGAACACGCGCGUGUACACGCGCACAAUCUGAACCUACACAUGGGGCAUAAAGAACGAGAGGAAUUAGCGUUCAGCAACAGACAACAGGGAGUCUCAGGGAGUGUGGAACGUUUCGUUGAGGCGGCCUACCUAGACACUUGACAGACUUGUGCUUUGCACAAUAGUAGGAAGCGCUAAAAAUAAUCCGGCUCCACGACGUUCUGGCCUUGGCCAGCCUCGAUCCUCUCAACCUGGCGGUACCACCUUCUUCUUCUUCUUCUUCUUCUUCUUCUUCUGCUUCUUCUUCUUCUUCUUCUUCUUCUUCUUCUGCUUCUUCUUCUUCUUCUUCUUCUUCUCUUUCUCUCUCCGCGUCCUCUCUCUCCCAAUUGCUCUUCAUCUAACCUGUUCCAUUCUCCCAGACACGAUUCAACGGUACGUCACCCGUGGACGACCUAUCUUUUUUUCUUUUUUUUUUCCUUUUUUACUCUGCCGUUUCGUGCACGCACAGAAUGCCCACCCACACGUGCCGGAUAGGUUGUGUGGGCGUUGGAUUUUUCUUAUGUCUUUGAGCGAUGGAGUACCUCUCUGGCUCCCUCCUUUCCACGUGCUUCUCGUUACCCUCGCUCUGACAGGUCUCCCUGGCGACCCGAGUCGUGCCUUUUUGGGAGGGAAGGAGGGAGGGGGAUGAGGUGAGAAGCUAUGAAACUGUAAUCCCAUAUUUGUGAGACGAUACGUAACUGUUAAGGUACAUUCUCGCCGAGAAUAGAAGUUUUCCAUUGAGGAGAUUGAUGGUUGUUGUUUUUCCAUAAUGUUUCUUCCAGUUUUUCUCUCUCACAAUGGUGGAAGUUGGUGUUUUUUUUUUCUUGAAAUGAUCGAAUAGAAAAAUUGAUAUUAUCAAUUUUUGUAAAUGGUGAUAACCAAUGCGUGAUGACAGGAAGAGAGGAAGUUAAAGAUUGGUAUGUUAAUAGUUUUUUCUACAAUGUAUUUUAUAUUCCAAAAAUUUGGAUAGUCUCGAUUCUGAUUACAGAAUAGAUUUGAAUAGAGUUUUGUUUUUUGAGAACAUCGUUUUGAGAAAAAUGCAGUUACGUUAAUAGUAUUUUUUAUUCUUGUUAGAUUAACAGUCAGUAAUAAGAAAUAUGUUAAAUAAAGAAAAUAUUAUUCUACGAUUUGCAUUUAGGAAUAGUAAAUUCAAGGUAAAUUCAUGGUAAAUGUUUAAAGGUAAAUUAUUGAAAUUAUUACAAAUUGUUUUUGUAUCGUAAUCGUAAUUCAUCUCAUUAAUUAUGAAUCUUACAGGGCAAACGGAUAAUAUGCUGAAGAGGAAAAGAUGGAAUAAGAAGUAUAUUAAUUUUAGAUUUGAAAAGUGUCUCUUUUAUUUGAAAAAUAUUUUAAUAAAGAGUCUCAAACAAUCAAUCAUUCAAGUUUCUAGGAUAUUAAAAAAAUUUUAACUACGUAUUCGUUCAGGAGUAUCAAUCUCAUACAACAAAAUUCUAUAAAAAUUUCUAUGAAAACUUGUACGAUUUCACACACGUGAUUUGCCUCGAAACAGAAGGAAAACUAUAAUAUGUGAUAUUAAAGAAGUUUACGAAACAGAUUCGUAAUAAAACGAUACACUUUGGAAUCCACCAUAUGCUCAGAUAGUAAAAUCUUACGAAACUUUAGAAGAAUAGUGGCUGGAUAAUAUUUAUUACAAACUUAAAACGGAAGAAAAAUAAUUCAUUUUCAAAGAAACAAGAAAGACUUUUCAAAUAGGACCAAACGAAUAGACAAAAUUUAUAACAUUUAUAAAACUUACAUCAUGAUACUUAAUAGAUAUUGUUUUUUUUUAUGAUUAAUGACAACUAAAUGGAUUUAUAAUAUUUAUUAAACUUAAACAACUAUAAAGGUACAUUAUCUUUCAAAUAUGCACAAUAAUUUUCAAAUGUUAAUUCCAUUAAUUUAAAAUUGAUGGAUCCAUAAAAGUUGGGCCCCAGUCUGUAAGACACACACGUAAGACUACGUAAAAACGCAUAACUCGUUACGCUGAGAAAACUUUCACCAAAACUGCAGAAUUUAUUCCUUGCGAGAUAAAUGUACCAACUUUUAUAUACCCUCGUGUUAUACGUGUUGCAACAAUUAUAACACGUAACGAAGAAAAAUUGAAGGAGAAACCCAUUUUCAUCAACGAUCACGAUCCCAUCCCAUCCCAUGGGCACAAAGGGACCUGACUUAUGCGAAAGGGGAGAGGCAUUCGCCCGAUAUCUCGAUCGAUGUCGAAGGGAUCUUGCACGCUCAUCGACAAUCGGCGUCGAGACGUCCGUGGAGAACGUGGAUGACGUACAACGCGGGCGAAAUGACAGCAACCACCGGCGGCGGGUCAUACGGUGAUCCACGCCGCAUUCUGCACGCUCGGUUGCAUCUAGAUGCUUAUCGUUACCCAUUGUUACCCCGUCUCGUUUCCUUCUCUUUGUUCUCCGCGCCUCGUCCAACACCGGUGACGCACUUAAUAAAUAGAUAAUUACGUUGCAGAAUGCGACUCUGCAUUGUCCGCGGGGACCUAUUUUUAAAUCGCGAUACACUCUUCUUCUAUUUUUCGAAACACGAAGCCUUGGGAUCCUCGAGAGCCCUCCUCAUUGUUGGGACGCGAUAUUUCGUUUCUAUCUCUUAAAACACGAAUACUCGCGAAAUACUCGAGGAUAAUAUUGUCGAGAUACGGAAAUAAAAAUAAAAAAUCUUGAAAUUACUGAAAUGUACAAUUGUAAAUAUUUACAAAAAAAAAGAAGCCAUCUCAGCCACAUGUAUUCCAAUGUGCACGACACGUGUAAAUAUAUCGAGGCAGAUUUAAUAUCCUUCGAUAAAAUCUUGGAACAGAAGCGAAUCCAUUCGAACUAUUUCUUUCGACGAAAAAAAAAAAAAGAAAAGAAAAGAAAAGAGUAUCGAUCAUUCGUCAUCUGUAACCGCGUGUCGCAUCGCGCCACUGGACAGAAGGCACGCUCCUCAAACUUCACCUCCUUGCCCUCCCCUCGCGGCGAUAAAACGAGAUGGUGGCAAACACGUUCCUUGUGCCCUGGCUGCCAGAUAAACUAGGAGUCUCGUUAAGAUCGACGAUACGACGAUUUCGACGACAACUACGGAGCCGUCUCUCGGUGAAGAGCGAUCGUUAAGGAUCCUCUAACGAGGAGCCCCGUGCAACCGGAGGACAAUGGAGGAAGAAGAGAGAGAGAAGGAGAAUCUCGUCCAGCCUCUCUAUAUAUAUAUAUAUACGUGUGCUCCCUCCCUUUGGAUCGUGCACACCACACGAUUUUCAUCUUGCCUUACCUCGCCACGCUUAUCCUUGUCCCUCCUUUUCAUCAUUCUCGUCAAUGCACCAACCCUCUCGUCUACGUAUUAACGAGGAAACGACGGAAUCGCGACACGAUUCCUUCCUUCCUUCCUUCCUUCCUUCCUCGAGCUAUGUGUCACGAUUCGUUUGGUUAGGGAUGAUUGCGUCCUCGCGAUUGGUUUUGAUUUUUCACGAAGGAUUUUUUAAUGCAAGGACGAAUUGAAAUAUCCGGAGAGGCGAGAGAAAGAUUCUUUUCUUGUUCUUUUCUGUUCACGAAAGAGAUUUCUUGGUCCAAAAAAUAUGUAUUGGAUGUGUAAGAAGUUAUCGCUCUUGCCACGAUUUCUUUUCUUCUUGUGGCUGUCCUUUGAUGAGACUAUUCUUUUUUAAUUAUUAUUCUUCUUCUCUAAUUUCACACUUCUCUUACCAAGAGUUAGGUAAUAUAUUUUGGAAAUCAGGAUGAUUUGUUUUCUUUGCAAGUCGUUAAUAAUGAUCAAUCCAUAAAUCGUCUUAAAGUUUCACGAUUAGGAGAAAUAUUAUAGGAAACGAAUGAAAAAGAGAUUCCAUAAUUCCAUGGAUGAAUAGAGAUUAUUGCAAUAAGAGAGGAACUUGUUUUUUUUUUCUGUACAUUUCUCACGAAUCGACAAUGAUUCUGAAAUCCAGAAAUUCCAGAAUCGGUAACAAGCGAGACGGAAAAUCGUCCUUGGUCCGUUAGAUCUCGUGCACGAGCUUCGUGCAGGCCGAAAGGUUAACCUCGAAAUCAACGACGCGUGGAGCAUCCUCUUCGUCUUCUAUUUUCUCCGCUUUCCAGCCUCUCUUCCUUCGCCUCGACCGGUUAACGGGACCAGGCAUCAAUUAGACAAGCGAAUCUUCCCGUGGAACAACACGCUGGAUUCCUCGAUUCUUCUCUUUUGAUUCGUAUGUUUUAUUGAUUAUUUAAGAAACAUCUUUUUUGGUUUUUUUGAAAUUUUAAUUAUCAAUUAUCCAUUCUUAAGAGAAUGCACGCAAAGUGUAUUUUGACUCGUGUCCAUCGAAUUGAAUUUUUUAAUUAUUAUUAUAUGGAAUCUUCGAUCCUCUUUUAAUUAUCAUAAUUCUUAUAUCAUUAAGAAUAUUUUUACAAGUCGUGUUAUUAGUUUUCUUGUGAAAAUAGUAGAUUUUGAAGAAAAUAAAGGUAAAAGUAUAAGAUCUUCAUAUUUCCUCUUGCAACUAGAUUUUAUUCGUUUCAUUCUUUCUUAUGAUUAUUUUGUAACUUUCAACUUCUUUCGGGGAUAAAAUUAUUCUGUUCUCCUAUAUCUUAAACGAAAACACUUUCAUAUCUUGAAUUUCAGAAUAUUUUUUAUUUUAUUGUGCAAGUUGUUCCAAUCCUAUCUAUCGUGUUUUAUCUUAUGCCCCCCAUAAGGGAAUAUUUAUCGACUGUGUAAAAUUUAUUUCGCUCUCGUUUGCAAUUUAAAGGGAAGAAGUAUCAGGAAGAUGGAAGAUUAUCGGUACACGUAACGAGUUCUUUCCUUAUAAAUUUCCAAGACGAAACUCGUAAGUGACUCUACGAGAAUCGUAGAUUAUAAUCUCUGGUAAUUCUUCGUCCUCCUUACGGGUAAACUUGUUCUGAAAAUUCCUCUGAAUCACUCUUAUUACAUUAUUAUUAUUCUUAUCGCAAACUGCAACUUACAUUACAUCCUCCAAACAAACUUCAUUCACACACGUUUUGAAUAUUCUCGAAAAAUCAUCAAAUGGCGAAAAGAAGUCAUUCUUAAAAAGCCUUUAUUUUCGUGCCCCUGCCUUUUAUUCAACCUCUCCAACAAUCCCAUUAUUGCCACGAACCGGCAAACACACUUCUCGAAAUUCGCUAUUCCGUAUCAUUAACGGGGAUCCAGAGUUCCAAUCUCGAAAAGAGCACAUCCUACGCUCGAGAUCGGACGCCAGAUAAAUUGGCCUGAUGUCUCUGCGAUAUCCGUUCAUUCGUACUGCGAACGUUGCACCGCGAAAUCGUGCGCUGCGCAGGAAGGCAGCAACGAAUUAUGAUCACUGGAGCCACGUAUCGUGGUUGUCAUCGACUCUGCCCACGUUGUUGCACAAGUAGAACGUUGCAUCGUGAAUAUAUUAUUCUGAUUGUUAAAGAAUAAAGGGGAGUAAAAAUAAUUAAAUAAUUUCUCUCGUUUUGCCAAGAUUUUCCAUAAUCGUGCUCUUAAUUUUCCAAUUAUAUUUGGAUCUUAAAAUAACUAGGGCUAGAUUUCUGGAAAUAUUCGAUGGAUGAUUACUUUUCUUGAAUUUAUCUACUUGUCAUCGUUUACGAUUCGAUUGUCGGAUAUUCAUCCUUUCUCGUCGAAACUAUAAGAUUUUCCACGUUUAUACCAUUCGUUACAUCAUCAUACGAUAUUCGUUACAUGCAAUUACGAUCUUAGAUCGCGUGAAACUCUUGACAUUUCGCUUCUUAUCUCUCACCCUCGUCAUCUUUACCGCGAGAUAUCCGCGUUUUAGCGUCGAUCGUAAUUCCGUCCCGCCUUUGUCAUCCGGCAUAAGCGUGGAGAGGAAAGAGAGGGCGGUGAACUAAGCGCGCGUGCAUUGUUGGCGAGACUCGUGUUUAUGGGGCACGGGAUAGGAUAUGCACGGGACUGGUAUUUGGAAGCCCGCGUUCCUGCGUGCUCCUCGAGAUAUAUAUCUACAGCAGGCUUAUCUCGCGAACGUGAAGGUUUUCGAGGAUCCACUCACUCACGGUCCUCCCCUCGUUUCCAGAUGACACGUCCCCGAUUGCCCGUGACAAGAUGGAGCAUUAGGUCGAGACAUUUCUCCCCUCCCCGCUUCUUUUUUCUUUUAUUUCACGUUGCACAGGUGUCUUUGGAGACAGUCUUUUGGAGAAAGGGGAGAGUAAUUUACGAGUUGAUAAUCCCCGUGAAAUUUUAAUCGACACGAUGGACCGAGUAAGCAGUGUGUGUGAUGAAACUUGGAAGAGGAGAUGUUAAGUUUGAGUGGGAGUUCGCGUUAAAACUAUACGUUUAAAGAUUUAGAUAGGGAAUCUUUCGUGUAUUUACAUUUCAACUUCAGUUUUAGGUGAUGAAUAUUUAAAAAUAGAAACAUUCUUCAGUUCGUUCUCUCGAAAAUAUAUAAAAUAAAAAUCAACGCUAUUCUACGCAUAUUCACGAUGCGAUAUCCUCUAACGCGAUCUUUCAACGGUCAGAGAAAUGACUUUACCGUUUCCGAUUUCCAGAUAUUAUUUAUUCUCCGUCACGCUGCAUCCUGUAUCGAAUUUCUUGAAAAAUAGUAAUCAACUCCUCGUCCAUAAUCCGCAUGCAACACCACCGCGCCAUCUAGCUCAGUUUCUCAGGAAAUACUGUUGCAACAACGAUCCCACUGUGCUCCAUCUCACGGAUUAUUUAUUUCUAUCCCAUCCUCCUCUCGUAAAUAGCGGCGUUAAUUUCCUGGAAACACGCGUUGCAAGCGUGUUUUUUUUUGCGCGCGCGCGUGGAAAAAGCCGUAGCGAAAGUCUCUCUCUUCUACCGUAAGGAAGGAAGAUCUACCGAGAAUCGCGUCUCUCUUUCCCGGUACUCGACCUCGCUCCGCUCUCCUCGUUUCCCAUUUCGGCCUGGAGCACGAUCCACUCUCCUACGACGUCUAGGCAGCCAGCUCCGGGCGUGCUCUUUGUCCUGUGACCCAGAUAGGAGAAACGGCGCGAGAAAGGCUUAGAUAAGAACCAGGCCUUCCUUCUCUUCCCACUUUCUGCAUCGUCACGUAGCGAAAUGAAUGCGCUCGUGUUCAGCCUGGGCGACAUAAACGGAUGCACCUCUGUCUUGCAUGAGUUUUAGAGGAGAUCUGCCGCUUCCAUAAAUUUUCUAUCUCGUGAAAUUUCUCGAUUGUUAAUUUCUUAAGAUCUUUCUAAUUGAUGAUGGUUUGGUUUUGUUUGAUCAAUCUUGUAAGAAUUAAUAAUCUUUCAAAGGGGUUUUAUUUCGAAAUUUUACGACAAUCUUGGGAAAUUCUCGUCGGUGUUGAAAAAUGUUGAAGGAAAAAAAAAAAAAAGAAAAAGCAAGGCGUUAAACACACGCGGGUGCAUGGCCUCGUUUCCAGGCAGGCUUAGAAAGCAGAACAACUUUUCAACGAUAACAUCGUCUGCCCGACGUGGCAAUUUUAAUUAGCCACAUCAUAUUAGGAUUUUUACGCGUCGUUCUCUAUACUCUUGUCGUUUCGAAAGUCUUUCCGGAACUCUGCUUCUGAUCGGAAAAGAUAAAAGCUGGAAAAAGUAGAUGUUGCCAGUUUCGCAGAUUUCCUUCGGGGAUAUACGGAAGACUUUGUGAAAUUCUUAGAUUACAAGUAUCGAGAUUAACGUGAUAAUUGAUGUUUUCGAGAUUCUUUAAUAUCGAUUCAUUAUCGUAAGAAAGUUUGGAAUUAAUAAGAAAUUUUAAAUAAAAAGACAGGCAUUAAAUUUGU